AGAUUAAAGAAAAAGAAUAUGACAUAUGUCACCCCACUGACUGCCAGGGUUGACUCAGCCAAUCUGGCUGCAAGUAUCCCGUUCCUCCCUCACUGCCCCCUAUGAGUCCCUCCCAAAGCUGCAGGCUCAGUCAAAAAAAGACAAUCACUCCUGAAAGAGGAGAACCAGUUCCUUGGUCAAGGGUGCAGGAAUAGCUUCCCUCCCUGCCAGAACCUCCAAACAAGCGCUCAAGAUUAAAAAAGGGGAAGGGGGAGGAUAGCUCAGUGGAAAGGCCCAGGGUUUAAUGCCUAGUAUCU
ensembl:misc_RNA 7SK 7SK RNA